CGUUGACGCAUUUCACUGUAUGUUUCAAUGUACCUGCGAUAAACAAAGGUCAUUACACCUUUACCUGGACCAUUGGGCUACCAAGCAGUCGAAAGCUUUCGUGGACCAAGUUUCCUAUGGAAGCCAGCCUCCUCGAUGAUUUUAUCUUCAAUAGACCUCUUGCCCAUUCCGAAAUCCCGCAGAGUUGAGAGCGUGAACCUUCGCAUCUGUUUCCAGGGCUCUCCAUUGGACCAGACCACGCCUGCAAGCAGACACAUCUACAUGAUAAAUACUUCUGCUAUACCCAUAUUAACAUAUUCUUUUGGCAUAAUAUCUUGAUCCAAAACCAAUCUGGAAAAUUUAUUAAGAAAAAUAAGAAAUGAAAACACUCUGUACACUUAAACACACUGAGCGUAACAUUACCUAGGACAGAAGGAGGAAUAGGAAUUACAGACACUAAAAAUGUGCAUAACAGUCAGAUGAAACUUCUAAGGAUGUAUUUCAUCAAUGAAAACAGGAAUCAGCGCUCCACGCGAGCAUAUUCAAUGUUGAUAAGAAGUACACACCACUAAACUUAAGAGAAAGCCCAGACCAGAAACUGAAGAUAUUAUCGCUAUUGAAGGAAAGGUUAACGAGUGGAAGAGCAUGGUCUUCUGUGGAAGACACUCCCCUGAUCUGAGCAGACUAGAUGUCGACAAGGAAACAUCAAGCGCCUGACUCAGAGUUGAAGACCUCUUCACAGACACAGAGUUCCUUGUGGCAAUGCAGGACCAAGUGGUUAAGACAAAAUGUAUCAGAAGUACAUAAUAAAAGAUCAACUGAUUCAAGAGGAUAAAUGCGGAGAAUGCCCGGAGAAAUAAGUAACAAUCCAACACAUUGCAGGAUCCUGCAGCAAUUCAACUCAGUUUGAUUGCUUACACAGGCGCAAGUCACAAACAUCAUUCACAAGAUUCAAACUCAUGAGAAACACCAUACCUUACUAUCAAUCCAAGUCUGAUCCAAUUUUAGAGCUAAUGUCCUACAAAUUACUUUAUGACUGAUCCAUUAUUACAAAUAGUACAAUCAUAACAAUGGUCUGUAUAAACAAGGAAGAACAACUUACUUAAUAGAUAUAGCCAUUCGAAACACACAUAAUCAA